rnacentral:tRNA from 2 species
GGCUCCAUAGCUCAGUUGGUUAGAGCGUAGCACUGUUACUCCCGUAAGGUCACAGGCACACCAGCACCGAGCUGGCUGUAGCCUCUGUGAUCACACACAUCCUCAUCCCGCCUUGCCCGAAGCAAGGCGAGGGAGUGAUGCUGAGGUCGGCGGUUCGAGCCCGCCUGGGGUCG